AAGGAAUCUAAAUAAAGUAUUUAGAGCUCAUGAAAAGAUAUCUAGAAGCAUCUAAAAAUUAAAUUUUACUCGUAGAAAGGUGGGAAAAUUCCAAAAAAGGUGGAAAAUUUUUCGAGAAGUUUUAAUAGGUCGGUUGAUGAAGAUAAAGUCAAAAGAAUGAUUUAGAGUAGAAGAAUAGCAUCGGGGGCAACUCUAUGAAAAGAUUAAGACUCAGGAAAAAGAGAGUUGGUUAAUGAUAGACACGUCGGAGAAAGAUAAACGACUUACUAAAUAUGCUCUAAAACUUUAUCCACUCACAACACAAGUUCAAUCAAUAAACAAGCAUCACCACACAUCAAGCAAAAGCCCGUCAAGUUAAUUCAGAACAAUUUAGAAAUUCAUAUUUUUUCUAUAACUAAUUUGCCCUAACUCAAACUAAAUUUGGCAAAUCUUAUACAAAUAUUAAAUUCAUUUAUAUUGGUUUAGUGUUUUCUAUGCACAACCUAAAAUUGAAAAUUUUGGGGGUGUGACACAGGUUGUCAUCUCUAGCAUGAUGUAGAAGUGCUAGUAUUAAAUCUAUAUGCUUUUCUUAGAAUAAAUAAUAAAUAAAGGAUCCGCAAGCGCACAGAUAAUACCGAUGUAGCAUUUUAACCGGGAGUAACCCAGGUAUCGUUAUUUAUAUUUUUACUAGACUUGCAAUGGAUAAUGAGCAAUGAGCACUGCAUAUAACCAUGAAGAACUUAACCAUGUCUUUUAUCUAUCUCUCAUGCAGGGUAAGUGUCACAUAAGAUAAAUAUAUGAAUAUGAAUAAUAAGUGACAGAUAAUAAAUAAGAAUUCAUAGCCAUGAUCAAGAUUCACUUGCACCCACAUAUAUAUGCACUCUCUUACAUUGGGAGUAGACACAAAACAUGCCUUCCAUUUAGAUCCACCCAAAAUGUUUCUCUCCUACACUGGGAGUGAACACUAAAAAGAUCCCUGAUAGGUUUUUCAUCCACCAAAUAAAUGCUCCAAUUCUUGAUGCUAUCUCUCAAAAGUCUUUGUUGUCAAAAAGAGUCAUGAGCUAUGCAAAAGUUAUAAAGAAAAAAUAUAUAUAUAUAGGGAGUUAAAAAAGGGACUAGUGUCCUAGAGAUGAAAACAAUGAGUACUCAGAUACUUGCCUCCCUAAAAGUAAAAAAGAGAGAGAAAAAAAAGAAAAGAAAUAAUAAUAAUAAGAUAGCUCAUGUUCUCUGGCCAAGUUUUUAAAUUCAAAAGAGAGAUAUAUUCAAGGAGUAUAGUAGAAUUAGGUUUCUUCAACUCUACCAUAUAUCCAUUAAAUAUCCACACACAUGCACAUCUUGAUCUAAGAGUAUGAUAUUUCGCUCCUCGGGUUCAGGAUUUGACUUUAUAAUAUAUGCAACACAAGUAUGCCACAACAUCUAUCUCUACCUGAGCUCCACAUAAACUAUUAGUUGUAGGAAGAGAAGAGCAUAAUAAGAUACACCAUUGAGCGAUCGAGAGUACCAUUUGAGGAGUAAUAGUGAUCUAUGCUUUCCUUUUGUAAAAACUUUAAAAACUUUAAGUUGUUAAGAUGUGAAUCUGGGAAGAUGACUUUGCUUCGAGAACUGUUCCACUUUUCAACCACCCAAGGACAUAUGUUAGCUAAUGCCACAUAUCCCACUUGUGUGAGUAAUGUUUUGGAAUAAUUUUUAUGUUAGCUAUAUAUUUUUCGAUGUCAUGAUCAUGAUUACUUUUAUCUUUAACCUUUACUCGAGGACGAGUGAAAGCCCUAGUUUGGUUUUGGAUAAUUGAUGAAACCCUAGUACUAACCUCUAUGCUAAGUAUGUGUAGACUUAAUGUGGUUGGUACAUGCCAAGUGAUGGAGCAAGAGAUGAUCAUGGUGAUGAUGGUGAUGACCACAAGAUGAUCAAGUGCUCAACUUGGAAAAGAAGAAAG
rnacentral:lncRNA from 1 species